rnacentral:lncRNA from 1 species
GACUAGCAUCACGAGUAUCAGGGCGAGGCUAAAAUUGCAAUGGUUCACAAAUUGAAGGCAAAUAAAAAUGGUGAGACUAAGCAAAUGGCUUCUAAAGAUGCAGGUAACGGACUUAGCAAAACUCAUUCCGAGAUCCUCGUUUGCCCGCUCUCCAAACAACCUUUAAGGUAACUCUUUGUUUUUCCUUUCCUUCAUGAUGCUUCUGUUUGCUAAUUCUGUUUCUUAUCAAUGAUUCUAUCGGAGUCUCCUUUCCUGUGAGUUAUAAUUAUAGUUUGGUUUCCCUUUUUGAUUUGGCAUUUUCUUUCGCUCGUUUGUCUGAUUUUCAUUGAGAAUUGGGUAUCUAUUAUCUGUUGGCCAUGCUAUUAAUUAUGAUACCAUUCUACCUCUGAAGUUAGCAUCGGAGUUGCAAUUCUACUGUUAUAAAAGGAAUUGUCUGCUGAUAUUAUGGAACAUAUUGCAGAAAUAAGAGACAAAAAAUUACAUAUACAUGAAAACUGAUGUGAUGCUCUAAGACGCACUAGGGUGUUUUGAUCUUGUGUUGGAGUUUAUGUUUGCUGGCGGUGUAUGUUGCAAAAGGUUCUACGACAACCUUUAAAUUACAUUGAAUUAAUCAGGCUUCUUCAAGACCGAGGAAUCACCAUAGAUUCAUACUUCCAAUGGUCAAUUACUUUCCAUCAUUGUCUUACUUUCCGUCGAAGCAUGCCCAAUCCACUUUCGAUGAUUUGCUCAAUUACCAAAUGGAUAUACUAGCUCUGUUUGCUCCUACCGCUCGAUCAAGUGAUAUGACACUGUCAUUAGCUCAAACGUUUCCAGCUGUAAAUCUAC